rnacentral:rRNA from 1 species
UACGAAGGGGGCUAGCGUUGUUCGGAAUUACUGGGCGUAAAGCGCACGUAGGCGGAUUGUUAAGUUAGGGGUGAAAUCCCAGGGCUCAACCCUGGAACUGCCUUUAAUACUGGCAAUCUCGAGUCCGAGAGAGGUGAGUGGAAUUCCGAGUGUAGAGGUGAAAUUCGUAGAUAUUCGGAGGAACACCAGUGGCGAAGGCGGCUCACUGGACCAUUACUGACGCUGAUGCACGAAAGCUAGGGGAGCAAACAGG